rnacentral:rRNA from 1 species
GACGAACGCUGGCGGCGUGCCUAAUACAUGCAAGUCGAACGAGAGCGACCGGUGCUUGCACUGGUCAAUCUAGUGGCGAACGGGUGAGUAACACGUGGGCAACCUGCCCAUCAGAGGGGGAUAACAUCCGGAAACGGAUGCUAAAACCGCAUAGGUCUUCGAGCCGCAUGGCUUGAAGAGGAAAAGAGGCGCAAGCUUCUGCUGAUGGAUGGACCCGCGGUGCAUUAGCUAGUUGGUGAGGUAACGGCUCACCAAGGCCGUGAUGCAUAGCCGACCUGAGAGGGUGAUCGGCCACAUUGGGACUGAGACACGGCCCAAACUCCUACGGGAGGCAGCAGUAGGGAAUCUUCCGCAAUGGACGCAAGUCUGACGGAGCAACGCCGCGUGAGUGAAGAAGGUUUUCGGAUCGUAAAACUCUGUUGUUAGAGAAGAACAAGUGCUAGAGUAACUGUUAGCGCCUUGACGGUAUCUAACCAGAAAGCCACGGCUAACUACGUG